rnacentral:rRNA from 1 species
GACGAACGCUGGCGGCGUGCUUAACACAUGCAAGUCGAACGCGCCUGUCCUCUGGGUUUCUGGGGGGUGGGUGAGUGGCGACCGGGUGAGUAACACGUGAGUAACCUGCCCCCUUCUUCGGGAUAACGGUCUGAAAGGGCUGCUAAUACCGGGUAUUCACUGGUCUCCGCAUGGGGUCUGGUGGAAAGGUUUUUUUCUGGUGGGGGAUGGGCUCGCGGCCUAUCAGCUUGUUGGUGGGGUGAUGGCCCACCAAGGCUUUGACGGGUAGCCGGCCUGAGAGGGUGACCGGUCACAUUGGGACGGAGAUACGGCCCAGACUCCUACGGGAGGCAGCAGUGGGGAAUAUUGCACAAUGGGCGCAAGCCUGAUGCAGCGACGCCGCGUGAGGGAUGGAGGCCUUCGGGUUGUGAACCUCUUUCGCCCGUGGUCAAGCCGCGACGUGGGUCGUGGUGAGGGUAGUGGGUAAAGAAGCGCCGGCUAACUACGUG